rnacentral:misc_RNA from 1 species
GAAAUGCUUGGUAUGAUCCUAAACAAGUUGAUGAUCAUGUCUUGCAAGGCUAUACAAAGCCUCUCAGAGUAAAAGAUUGGGAUAGGGCUCUGGUGGAGUAUACCGUGGCUAUGCUUACAGAUUCUGCGUCUGAAUCAAAACCACCACUGUCGAAGAGACUAAGUGAAAUCUCAUGUCCUGUUCUGAUUAUCACUGGUGACGGCGACCGGCUUGUUCCGUCAUGGAACUCUGAAAGACUUUCACAGUCCAUUCCUGGAUCUUGUCUUGAAAUAAUCAAGAAUUGUGGCCACUUGCCCCAUGAAGAGAAGGUUGACGAAUUUGUAUCCAUUGUUGACAGAUUCCUUGAAAGAGCUUUUGGGGUGCAGAAAGAGUCUCAUCUGCAACCAGCAACUUGAGAUUGAUACUUUUUCCAGUUCAACGUGACCUCUAGGAUUGAUA